CUUGCGGCUAUAUCACGUUGAAUGACCAAAUCUCCCCCGAUCACCGAAGUUAAGCAACGUCCAGCCUGGUCAGUACCUAGAUAGAUGAUCGUUUGAGAAUACCAGGUGCUGUA